ensembl:lncRNA
UGCUGAGCAGCUCACAGGUUUCCCAGAGGGGGUGGUCACAUAACCUCCACCUGACCAAUCAGCAUGUUCCAUCCUCCCUGGACACCUGUGAUUGACUCAGGGCUGGACAAAUGACUACUCAGGGCAUGUGCUGGAAUCCUGGGGAAUGGAGGUUUAUUUCCGUUAGGAGCAGGGGAUACCUAAGGUCAGCCUGUGGCAGUUGGAAGGAAGUGAGGUCAGCCUUUGGCGGUUGGAGGGAAGUGAGGUCAGCCUGCGGCAGUUGGAGGGAAGUGAGGUCAGCCUGUGGCGGUUGGAGGGAUGUGCCAUCAGCUUGUGGCAGUUGGUGGCCUUGUUCCAUAAAGGCAGAGCUGCUUGGGUGAGGAUGACAUCAGUAAGCAGAGCUGAGAGGUGGGGAAAGACAAUUCCUACUGACGUCCCUGAGAUCCAGCCUCCCAUGGUGCCACAGGAGGAACCCAGUGGACAAUGAAUUGACAGCUCAGCACAGGAAGGCAGGCUGUGUGCUGCUGAGAAUAGAGACUCGCUGCUUCACUCCGUCUGCGCGCUGGGUCUGGAGUCCACCCAGUAUACAGCAGGGCCCCAGAACCUGCACUGCAGGUGCGGACGUCGAGGCCAUGGACAAGAACGUUCUAGGCGGUGAUGAACCCUCUGGGAGGCAGCCCGUGACAUCUUGUCCAGCGGAAGGAGACUGUGUCCCACCCUGCUCAUGGAUGCCCUGCUCUUUAGUACAAAAUCCACACCCUCCCUGUGGGACCAUGAUGGACAAAUAGAAUGACCAGAGGCAGCCGCGGCCCAGCCAGCCCCAGCCCACACCUCACAGAAGAGGAGACAGUCUGUGAGCACAGUGUUCCGUCAUCAGAGUCAACUACUUUCCAGCCCUGAGGUGGGGAAGUUUCAGUUUGGAGACACAGAGCACAGAGGACCGGUGUGGAUGGUCCUGGAAGCAAGGGGGCCGGCCCAGCCCCUUCUCCCCAGCCUGGCUGCUGCCCUCUGUCCUGUGUGCGCCUGGCACUCCCGCUUCCUCCUGCCGGGUUGCCUGCCGUCCAGUCCCUGUGGUCACACCCGCACAUCAGGACAACUCCCCCACCACGUGGAAGGGGCGAGUCAGGAAACUCAGCAGCACAGGGACCUGAUCACACCACCCACAGGCCUUCACGGGACUUUAUCCUAUUUAUGGGCAUCUCGGUCAUGAUUAACACAGGCCCCAGGGACCAAAAGUUCCCCUCAGUGCUUCUGAAGAUGCUGGGUAAUGUUAGUGCAGGGAGGUUAUACACACUUUCUGCAUCUCGGCCCUGCAGCACAGCAAUUGCUGUUGGUGGAAGUCAUCAUCCUAAUUCUCUCAGUCGUCUUUGCAAUUAGUUCUCAUUUACUUCUAGUACCACAUGACUGCACGCUUCUUAGACUGGAAAAUACACAGCCUGAAUUCUGUGCAGGGAGGAUGCAAAAGUGGAGCAUCAAGUUUAUCAACAGGAAUUGGAAGAAGCAAUGAGUUGACAAGAACUCUCCCCCUCCCCCUCUCACGUGCAGGACAGAAGAGUCGGGUAGGGAGACACGCCCAGGAGAGGCAGUCCAGUCUCUGCGGUUUCAGGUGAGAGCCGAGGGGUGGGCCUGCAGCCCGGCGGGCCCUCUUCUGGUCGUCCAGGCCGCUGCAGACUGUCCUCUGACCUGGCCAGGGUUUUGGAUACGAUGCUUCUGAAGGCCAUGGAGGUGUGGGAUACCCUCCUGAUUCGAGUCUUGUCAGAGGAUUCGACCCCCUGACCACUGCCAGGAAGUGCAUCCUGACGUUUCAUCUUGGGUCAUCCAUGGACUUUACCUGGGCUCCGUUUGUUACGCCGCCUCUUGCUGGGCAGACUAUUAUACAUCUGCAUAUUUUCAGGCUAACCCUGCUCUUUCUGGCUGUGGCCAGAGGAAAGUGUCUGGGGACAGACUCUCAGGCUGGCCAGCAUUGGAGGAGCUCCUGGUGUUGGACACACCCAGGGGCAGGUGCUUCCCUCUGGGACUUCAGUCCUGCUGCUGGUGCUGCUGAUGGAGGGAAGGCCUCAGGGCCACAUGGGGCGCUGGACUGGGGAUGGCAGGCUUCUGCUCCAGGCUGGGUGGAGACCGGCAGGCUCCCUGGUCUUCUGCCCUGACUCCUGGGCCUCCUGCAGUUGUACCUUUUCUCCCUGCUUGAGCCACGUGGUAUGAGUGUGGACACCUCAGGCCUUGGAGAAGGCUCAACUUAUGGCUGCUGAGGUCAGUGGAAGGGGGGAGCCUCGCAGUGAUGGAGCAGCCCUCCACCUAGUGUUCCCCUGAGCUCACAGUGCAGUGCCUGCUGCCUGUUCCCUGAGUCAUGGAUCAGGUCCCACCCCGACACCAGAGUCCUUACCACUGUCACCCCUCGGUCCUUGUCACAGGGUGGCACACAGAAUGGCCUGAGUGGCUCCUUCUGGCCCAGGUUCACCCAUGGAUGCCCCAUCAGUCAUUUAAGGUGCUUUUGUCACUGGGGUUGAGGACCAUAUUUUUUAGCAAAUUCCUUCUCUGAUGACCGACACAGGGGAAUGGGGUGUUGCCCUAUGAGGAUUCACAGCCACAGCUCUGAGAAGUCCUGUCCCCUAAAGGGCAGGGUCCCAGUCACCACGGAGUAGAGAACUACUCCCAGACUCCACACAUCCACCGCAGGGCAGUCAGAGCCCUGUCCCAGCAAGAAUUCUUAGGCAGCAUAACUGCAGCUGCCAUAGAAAAUGUUGAGCUUCCCAUUCUCAUUACACUCAUUGCUGAGGCCCAAAGCCUGUAAUUUUCACAUACUACUUGGAGUCAAGGAGGAUAUUGCCUGAUUUCAGGUCCCAGUGCAGGACGCACCUCUGGUGGCAGUGCUGCAGGGCGGAGACCAGCUGUCCGAGCUGGCCGCGGGUGUCAGCCUCUGGUCAUUUGGUCCAUGUCUCAUGGUCCUCGAAAUGGCUGCACGUGUCCCCCUUGAGCUUCCCAUUCUCACUACACUCAUUGCUGAGGCCAAAGCCUGUAAUUUUCACAUACUACUUGGAGUCAAGGAGGAUAUUGCCUGAUUUCAGGUCCCAGUGCAGGACGCACCUCUGGUGGCAGUGCUGCAGGGCGGAGACCAGCUGUCCGAGCGGGCCUCGGGUGUCAGCCUCUGGUCAUUUGGUCCAUGUCUCAUGGUCCUCCAAAUGGCUGCACGUGUCCCCCUCACUGAGGCCCUCCAUCUCCAGGAACAAGGUGGUCUCUGUGUCAAUCACUUCUAGUAGGUUAACAAUAUUUUCAUGGUUCAGAGCUUUCAUACUAUUCACUUCCCGGAAGAGUCCUGGAGGCUGGAGGAGCUCUGCUGACUCUUCCUAAUGACCUUUAUGACCAACUCUGUCCCAGUCAGAACGUACUGAGCCCGCUUCAGCAAAUCAGCCUUUACCAAUAAUAUAAAGAAUCGCAGUUCUCAAUAGAAGCCUUGUCCCCUGAGAUGGCUGUGAGCCCCAGCAUCAUGGUGAUCUACUGAUUACACUGACUGCCAGCACUAACUAGCAAUGCUAACUGUACUAACUAUGCUAACUAUACUCCCACAGCAGGGAGUCCUCCAGGUUGUAAUGAAAAACCCUGGACGAACUGUUAUGAAUUCAUAUUUGGUAAAAGUAGAUAGGCAGGCAGUUAGAAAAGCUAGCCUUGGGACUUCCUUGGUGAUCCAGUGAUUAAGAAUCUCUGCUGCUAAUGCAGGAGGACUAGGUUUAAACUGGUCCAAUCCCUGAUCAGGGAACUAGAUCCCACAUGCCACAACUAAGACCCAGUGCAGUCAAACUAAAACAAAAAAAGCUAGUCCUAUUUUAACUUUGGUUUGUAGCUCCACUUUUUGUUUUCUCUUUGACGAGAUUAAUAGCUUAAAAUUUUGUCUGCUUUUGGACAUGAUCUAAAAAGAUUUAAUUUUGUAACAUAAGUAACUGAAAGGGGCAGGAGUCAGAGCUGUACAGGAACAGGUAUUUUAUGUUACUGAAAUUAAACUGGCUUAAAUUGAAUUAGAGUGUUGUAAUUUUAAGAUGUUAUUUGUAAUCACACAGUAAUCACAAAGAAAAUAGUUACAGAAUAUCCACAAAAGGAAACGAGAAGGGAAUUGCUUCACUACAAAAAAAUAACAAUGCAAAAGAAGGUGAUCUUGAAGGACACGAGGGACAAAAAAUUCGUAAGGUAUACAGAAAAAGAGCCGGAUGACAAUUGCUGAUUACUCCUUCAGACAGUUACUCCUUCAGUAUCAGUAAUUAUAUGUAAAUAGAUUAAACUCUCCACUUAAAAGAUUGGCAGAAAGGAUAAAAAUAUAUGAUGCAACUAUUUGCUAUCCAUAGGAGACUAACUUUAGAUCCAAAGACAGUAAAAAAAGUUGAAUAUGAAAGGAUAGAAAAAGGUGUGCUGUGCUCUGUCACUUCAGUCAUGACUCUUUGCGAUCCUAUGGAGUGUAGACUGCCAGGCUCCUCUGUCCGUGGGAUUCUCCAGGCAAGACUACUGGAGUGGCUUGCCGUGCCCUCCUCCAGGAGAUCUUCCUGACCCAGGGACUGAACCUACAUCGCUUAUGUUUCCUGCUUUGGCAGGUGGGUUCUUUACUACUAACGCCACCUGGGAAGGGAUGGUCCAUGAAAACAGUAACCAAAAGAGAGCAGCUGUGCUGCACUAAUAUCAGACAACAUGGUCUUUAGAUCAGAAAAGUUACAAGAGACAAGGAUUUUAUCUUCUUCGGCAAGAAGAUAAAAUCACAACCAUUUACACACCCAGUGACACCAUCAAAAUACGUGAAUUAGAAAUGGAUAGAACUGAGGGGAGACAUAGUUCUACACAAUAGUUGGAACCUCCAAUACCCUACUCUCAGUGAUGGAUAAACAGCCAGACAAGAUGAAUGCGUAGGUAGAGAAUGUAAAUAGCACAAUCAGCCAAUUAGGUCUAACAGACAAACACUUCUCAAGGGCACGUGGGGCCUUCUCCAGGACAGACCAUAGAAUAGGCCACAAUUAAGUCUCAGUAGAUUUCACAAGGUAAAUCUCAUAAAAAGUAUCUUCUCUAACCAUAGUGGCAUAAAGUUAGAAAUCAGUAACAGAAGGAAAAGUAGAAAUUUCACAAAUUUGUAAAAAUUUAUAAGAACCAUUGUGGCAAAGAAGAAAGCACAAGGGAAAUCAGAAAAUACCUAGAGAUGAAGGGAAGGGAAACACUAACUUGUGAGAAACAGGAAAGCAGUGCUAAGGGGAAAUGUAGAGCUUUAAACACAUAAAAAUCUCAGUAAUUUCAUGCAAUUAAGGGAACUAGAAAAAGAACAAACUAGGGCGGUCCUAAGAUGGUGGAGGAAUAGGACGGGAGACCACUUUCUCCCCCACAAAUUCAUCAAAAGAACAUUUGAACGCUGAGUAAAUUCCACAAAACAACUUCUGAAUGCCAGCCGAGGACAUCAGGCACCCAGAAAAGCAGCCCCUAUUCUUCAAAAGGAGGUAGGAAAAAAUAUAAAAGACAAAAAGAGGGACAAAAGAGGUAGGGACGGAGCUCUGUCCCAGGAAGAGAGUCUUAAAAAAAGAGAAAACUUUCCAAACACCAGGAAACAUUCUCACUGCCGAGUCUGUGGUGAGCCUUGGAAUCACAGAGGGCAACAUAAUCGGGAGGAAAAAUAAAUAAUUAAAACCCAUAGAUGACGUGCCCAAUGGUAACUCCCCCAGUGGAGAAGCAGCACAGAUGCCCGCAUCCGCCACCUACAAGCAGGGGCUGGGCAGGGAGGCUCGGGCUGCAUUGCUUAGUGUAAGGGCCGGGCCUGAAUGCCCUGAGGGCAAUCUGCGGGAACUAACUUGGGCUAGCAAACCAGACUGUGGGAUAGCUACCACACGAAAAGCCUUAACCUAAGACACUGUCAGGCCCGCUCACAGAACAAAGGACUAAGCAGAGCUAACCAGCUGUGGACAGGUCCAUCCCCCACUGGAGACAGGCAGGCGAGGGCAGCCACCAAACUGCAAGCAGGCUUCAUUGCUAACCAAGACUUCUUGGGUUUCUGGACUGUUGGCUGCCUGAGAAGGUGCACCAGUUGUACACCCAGAAAACUGAGCGGCAGGGAUGGGGGAGGUGAUAAGUCAUAGCAACUGCGCUCUCCAAACACCUGGUCACCUGAGCUGCUCGGAUCUGAGAAGGGCACAAAACGCAGGCCCAGUGGAGUCUGCACCUCUGAGGACUACCCGAGUACCUGAACCUGAGCGGUUAGACCUGGGAAGUGCAUACAACCCAGGGCUGGCCUCAGACCCCAGUAGAGCAACCUAGAGCCUAAGCAGUGUAGACAGGGAAAGCACACACGCCGUGAUCAGGGGCAAACCCAGUGUGGCAGAGACACUGAGAACACACACCAGUGUUAUUUGUUUGCAGCGUCCCUGCCUCCCCACAGCACAAAUGAACAAGUGAGCCUAAAGUGUCCACCACUGCCCCCUUGUGUCAGGGUGGAAAUCAGACACUGAAGAGACCGGCAAACAGAAGAUGCUAAAACAGAGGGAACCUCCUUGGAAGUGACAGGUGCAAUAGAUUAAAAGCCUGUCGUUAGUACCCGCUACCUAGGAAGGGGCCUAUAGAUCUUGAGAAAUAUAAGCCGG